UACGGGGGGGCAAGCGUUGUCCGGAUUUAUUGGGUUUAAAGGGUGCGUAGGCGGUCCUAUAAGUCAGUGGUGAAAUACGGCAGCUCAACUGUCGAGGUGCCAUUGAUACUGUAGGACUUGAGUACAGACGAGGUAGGCGGAAUUGACGGUGUAGCGGUGAAAUGCUUAGAUAUCGUCAAGAACACCGAUAGCGAAGGCAGCUUACUAGACUGUAACUGACGCUGAGGCACGAAAGUGUGGGGAUCAAACAGGA
rnacentral:rRNA from 1 species